ACGAACGUUGGCGGCGUGCUUAAUACAUGCAAGUCACCUGAAGCAGUGGUAGCAAUAUCGCUGUGGAGGUGGCGCACGGGUGAGUAACACGUAGGUAAUCUGCCUUCAGGUCUGGCAUAACUCCGGGAAACCGGGGCUAAUAGCAGAUGAUGCAGCGGCUCGACAUCGAGACAGUUGUUAAAGCUAUGGCGCCUGAAGAUGAGCCUGCGUCUGAUUAGCUAGUUGGCGGGGUAACGGCCCACCAAGGCAACGAUCAGUAGCUGGUCUGAGAGGAUGAUCAGCCACACUGGAACUGAGACACGGUCCAGACUCCUACGGGAGGCAGCAGUAAGGAAUAUUGCUCAAUGGGAGAAAUCCUGAAGCAGCAACGCCGCGUGAGGGACGAAGGGCUUUUGCUUGUAAACCUCUGUAGUGAGAGAAAAAAAUCCCAAUCUUUGGGACAUGAUGGUAUCUCAAAAGUAAGCCCCGGCUAACUACGUG
rnacentral:rRNA from 1 species